rnacentral:rRNA from 1 species
GACAGAGGGUGCAAACGUUGUUCGGAAUUACUGGGCGUAAAGCGCACGUAGGCGGCGCCGUAAGUCAGGGGUGAAAUCCCGGAGCUCAACUCCGGAACUGCCCUUGAAACUGCGGUGCUAGAAUCUUGGAGAGGCGAGUGGAAUUCCGAGUGUAGAGGUGAAAUUCGUAGAUAUUAGGAAGAACACCGGUGGCGAAGGCGGCUCACUGGACCGGAACUGACGCUGAGGCGCGAAAGCGUGGGGAGCAAACAGG